CAAAGCUCCGGCGCCCGGGGCGGGGCCCACGUGAUAUUACCUGGUUGGCGGGGUAACGGCCCACCAAGGGGGAGAUGUCUAGCGGGUGUGAGAGCACGACCCGCGCCACUCGCACUGAGACACUGGCGAGACACCUACGGGUGGCUGCAGUCGAGGAUCUUCGGCAAUGGGGGCAACCCUGACCGAGCGAUGCCGCGUGGGCGACGAAGGCCUUCGGGUUGUAAAGCCCUGUCGAGGGGGAGAAAGGGGAAACCCGGAUCCAUCCCUGGAGGAAGCUCGGGCUAAGUUCGUGCCAGCAGCCGCGGUAAGACGAACCGAGCGAACGUUGUUCGGAAUCACUGGGCUUAAAGGGCGCGUAGGCGGGCUGCCGCGUCCGGGGUGAAAUCCUCCGGCUCAACCGGAGAACGGCCCCGGGUACGGGCGGCCUCGAGGGGGGUAGGGGCGGGCGGAACUGUGGGUGGAGCGGUGAAAUGCGUUGAGAUCCACAGGAACUCCGGUGGCGAAGGCGGCCCGCUGGACCCCAUCUGACGCUGAGGCGCGAAAGCCAGGGGAGCGAACGGGAUUAGAUACCCCGGUAGU
rnacentral:rRNA from 14 species